AUACGGUACACGUUGGUCCAACUAACUGAAAUGAGCACUACAAAGAGCAGAAACAAGGCAAGGGCUGGGGACCAUCGAAUACUCAGAAUACACCACUCGUAUCAUCUACUCCUUCCUAUGGCGGUUAGGCGUCUCUCCUCAUCCCGCUGAGAUGUGCUUCUGAUGCUUCUUAACCUCUCGAUGCGGACGUAGGCGCGCGCAGGGAAGACUCCACUUGAGGAGAAGCAGAGGAGGCGCGCGUUCCACGAUAGAAGCUUCGGUUGGGCGCUGCAGGGAGGAGAUCCGAGCAGGGACGCCGCGGUAGCUUGGGAUUGAGCUCGGCAAGCACCACGGAGCAGGGAACCGACGCGCCGUGGGAGCCGUGCGCGCGUAGGAGAUCGGCUGGGAAGAGACAUGCGAAGAAGAAAGAGCAGAGAAGAUAGACAUGCGCGCUGGAGAAGAUAAGGAGAGCGCGUAGGGAAAUAUCUGGUUCACGGGCGGCAGAAAAAUCUCAAUCGGAUGAGAUCGUGCGUGCACAAAAAUCUAGGCGCCGUGAAGAAGAUAGGCUGGGCACGCGUAGAUAAAGCAGCGGUGAAAAAUAUCAGAGAGCAAAGCGGCGUGGGGAUAAGCUCCUGGAAUAUUUUCUUUUCUUUUUCAGAUUUUUAGAGAUUCACAGAUAUUUUUGAAUCGGGAUUUUUAGCCACGAACAAAGAGUCGAUGCGUGAUACGA